rnacentral:lncRNA from 10 species
UAGAUCUGCAGUCUCCUGACCUGAUGUGCAUCAGAAUCACUGGGAGAACAAACAAACAAAAAUGAAUCCAAAACAAGCAACGAACAGACAGAUUCUCAAGUCUUGCCAAGUCCAAAGAUUGAUUUGGUGGAGAAAUUGUACUUUGAAAGCUGCCCAGGAACCUGCUCCUUUUACUUCCAGUGGACACAGAGCACUUCAGCUAUGGGCAUCCAUAACUACUUCCUCCUGGAUCUGAGGCUUUCUUGGCUCUGAG